rnacentral:lncRNA from 1 species
UUUACUAGCUUUCCGCCCGCGGCUUCGCCCGCGUGGAAUUCGGUUAUAUUGCGGUAUAAAUCACAACUAUAAGAAAAUCAUCAAAAGACCCCUCCCGCUGUGGGUUAGCAGCGGUGAGGGAGUGUCAGACUCUUACCCUCUUAUUAUAAAACGCGGUAUCAAAUAAGUAUCGGCUUUUGUACUACCUUUAAUCCAGCUGUAAGUACGACCUUGAAAAAACGUUAUUACAAAACGCAGUUUAUCGCAAGUCCUAUUACUAUCUGUAGUACAAAAGAUAAACCAUCGAGCCCCCUAGUUUAACUGCAGUACUUAGUCGACAAACGUCAAAUUCCGUCAUUAUUUACUUUUGAGGUUAUUUGUUUUGUGAUGAAAAAAACGAAAGUGGAUAUAAAUAUGUGUGAUUUGGAAUACUUGGAUGUGUUAGAAUACUAUUGAGAGUGUCCGGGGACCCAACAGUGUGCGUCAUCGACAAAAUCUCUUCAAAUUAUCUGACGACAAUUUUCGAUAUAAAUAUCGAUUUAUGUUUUUCGAAAUAAUAGUCAAUUGAAUGCAUGAUGAUAAUCCAUGAUGAUCCUAUGAUGCUCAAUUGGGCUCGCCAUAAGAUUCAAGACUAUUUUGGCGUUUUGCAUACCGUAUCUUUGCCAGUAAUAUGCAAUGUUUGUAAAAGACUGGAAGCUUGCUAAAAUGUACAAAAAUGCCAAGAUGAGCAAGGGAACAAGAUUGUGUGAUGAAGAACAGUGUCCAUUAUGUAUCAGUGCGUUUGACUGUAUAAAUAGACAUCGGAGUAAAAUAUAAUUUUGUACUUU